AAUCAACGCCGGCGGCGUGCCUAACACAUGCAAGUCGAACGAGAAAGUGGAGCAAUCCAUGAGUAAAGUGGCGACCGGGUGAGUAACACGUGACUAACCUACCCUAGAGUGGGGGAUAACCUCGGGAAACCGGGGCUAAUACCGCAUAACAUCACGAGGGGAAGAUCCUUGUGAUCAAAGGAGCAAUUCGCUCAAGGAGGGGGUCGCGGCUGAUUAGCUAGUUGGUGAGGUAACGGCCCACCAAGGCAAAGAUCAGUAGCCGGCCUGAGAGGGCGCACGGCCACACUGGAACUGAAACACGGUCCAGACUCCUACGGGAGGCAGCAGUGGGGAAUCUUAGACAAUGGGCGCAAGCCUGAUCUAGCCAUGCCGCGUGAGCGAUGAAGGCCUUAGGGUUGUAAAGCUCUUUCAGCUGGGAAGAUAAUGACUGUACCAGCAGAAGAAGCCCCGGCUAACUUCGUGCCAGCAGCCGCAGUAAAAC
rnacentral:rRNA from 1 species